GAGUUUGAUCAUGGCUCAGAACGUACGCUGGCGGCACGCCUAACACAUGCAAGUCGAACGAAGUAGCAAUACUUAGUGGCAGACGGGUGAGUAACAUGUAGGUAUCUGCCCUUUGGCCUGGAAUAACACGAGGAAACUUGUGCUAAUACCGGAUAAGUCUUUACGGAGAAAGCUUUAUGCACCAUUGGAUGAGCCUGCACUUGAUUAGUUUGUUGGUGGGGUAACGGCCUACCAAGACUGUGAUCAAUAGCUGAUUUGAGAGGAUGAUCAGCCACAUUGGGACUGAGACACGGCCCAAACUCCUACGGGAGGCAGCAGUGGGGAAUCUUGCACAAUGGAGGAAACUCUGAUGCAGCGAUGCCGCGUGAGUGAAGAAGGCCCUUGGGUUGUAAAGCUCUUUCGUCGGGGAAGAAAAUGACUGUACCCGAAUAAGAAGGUCCGGCUAACUUCGUGCCAGCAGCCGCGGUAAUACGAAGGGACCUAGCGUAGUUCGGAAUUACUGGGCUUAAAGAGUUCGUAGGUGGUUGAAAAAGUUAGUGGUGAAAUCCCAGAGCUUAACUCUGGAACUGCCAUUAAAACUUUUCAGCUAGAGUAUGAUAGAGGAAAGCAGAAUUUCUAGUGUAGAGGUGAAAUUCGUAGAUAUUAGAAAGAAUACCAAUUGCGAAGGCAGCUUUCUGGAUCAUUACUGACACUGAGGAACGAAAGCAUGGGUAGCGAAGAGGAUUAGAUACCCUCGUAGUCCAUGCCGUAAACGAUGUGUGUUAGACGUUGGAAAUUUAUUUUCAGUGUCGCAGGAAACCGAUAAACACACCGCCUGGGGAGUACGACCGCAAGGUUAAACUCAAUGAAUUGACGGGGACCCGC
rnacentral:rRNA from 1 species